CCUACGGGGCGCAGCAGUGAGGAAUAUUGGUCAAUGGGCGUAAGCCUGAACCAGCCAAGUCGCGUGAGGGAUGAAGGUUCUAUGGAUCGUAAACCUCUUUUAUAAGGGAAUAAAGUGUGGGACGUGUCCUGUUUUGUAUGUACCUUAUGAAUAAGGAUCGGCUAACUCCGUGCCAGCAGCCGCGGUAAUACGGAGGAUCCGAGCGUUAUCCGGAUUUAUUGGGUUUAAAGGGUGCGUAGGCGGCCUUUUAAGUCAGCGGUGAAAGUCUGUGGCUCAACCAUAGAAUUGCCGUUGAAACUGGGAGGCUUGAGUAUGUUUGAGGCAGGCGGAAUGCGUGGUGUAGCGGUGAAAUGCUUAGAUAUCACGCAGAACCCCGAUUGCGAAGGCAGCCUGCCAAGCCAUGACUGACGCUGAUGCACGAGAGCGUGGGGAUCAAACAGGAUUAGAUACCCCAGUAGUC
rnacentral:rRNA from 1 species